GGUUCCCUACGGGACGCAGCAGUGAGGAAUAUUGGUCAAUGGGCGCGAGCCUGAACCAGCCAAGUCGCGUGAGGGAGGACGGCCCUACGGGUUGUAAACCUCUUUUGCCGGGGAGCAACGGGCGCCACGUGUGGCGCCACUGAGUGUACCCGGAGAAAAAGCAUCGGCUAACUCCGUGCCAGCAGCCGCGGUAAUACGGAGGAUGCGAGCGUUAUCCGGAUUUAUUGGGUUUAAAGGGUGCGUAGGCGGAUCGUUAUGUCAGUGGUCAAAUUGAGGGGCUCAACCCCUUCCCGUCAUCGAAACUG
rnacentral:rRNA from 1 species